CCGAGAUUGCCCACAAUUGUGUCAUUCACUCACGCUUGCACGUCAAACUGGACACAAACGCCUUCAUCACGCGACUACACAACACGAAUAAGACACGUCCCUGAACGACAUCUGACCUAUGACGACGGACCAAUAGACCUUACUACCCCAAAGAGAAUGAGGCUCACGGGUGAUAAGGAAAUACUAGAGGAUCACAUAAAACAGACGCAAGGCACAAACUUAUGAAUAUCCCUCUACUCAAGCUGCAAUCCG
rnacentral:lncRNA from 1 species